rnacentral:rRNA from 1 species
AGUGAACGCUGGCGGUAGGCCUAACACAUGCAAGUCGAACGGCAGCACAGUAAGAGCUUGCUCUUACGGGUGGCGAGUGGCGGACGGGUGAGGAAUACAUCGGAAUCUACUUUUUCGUGGGGGAUAACGUAGGGAAACUUACGCUAACACCGCAUACGACCUACGGGUGAAAGCAGGGGAUCUUCGGACCUUGCGCGAUUGAAUGAGCCGAUGUCGGAUUAGCUAGUUGGCGGGGUAAAGGCCCACCAAGGCGACGAUCCGUAGCUGGUCUGAGAGGAUGAUCAGCCACACUGGAACUGAGACACGGUCCAGACUCCUACGGGAGGCAGCAGUGGGGAAUAUUGGAAAAUGGGCGCAAGCCUGAUCCAGCCAUACCGCGUGGGUGAAGAAGGCCUUCGGGUUGUAAAGCCCUUUUGUUGGGAAAGAAAAGCAGCAGGUUAAUACCCCGCUGUUCUGACGGUACCCAAAGAAUAAGCACCGGCUAACUUCGUG